rnacentral:tRNA from 1 species
AAACAAUAAGCAAUUUUUGCAUUUUGGUUUCGACCCAAAAAGAGUGUAUAUCACGUUGUUUU